rnacentral:rRNA from 1 species
CAGUCGCCGCGGGAAUACGUAGGGUGCGAGCGUUAAUCGGAAUUACUGGGCGUAAAGCGUGCGCAGGCGGUUGUGUAAGACAGGUGUGAAAUCCCCGGGCUUAACCUGGGAACUGCGCUUGUGACUGCACAGCUAGAGUAUGGCAGAGGGGGGUGGAAUUCCACGUGUAGCAGUGAAAUGCGUAGAGAUGUGGAGGAACACCGAUGGCGAAGGCAGCCCCCUGGGCCAAUACCGACGCUCAUGCACGAAAGCGUGGGGAGCAAACAGGAUUAGAUACCCCUGUAGUCCCUGUCUCUUAUAC